GGUUACUGCUAUCGGUGUUCGCCUAAGCCAUGCGAGUCAUAUGUAGCAAUACAUGGCGUACUGCUCAGUAACACGUGGAUAACCUGCCCUUGGGUCCGGCAUAACCCCGGGAAACUGGGGAUAAUUCCGGAUAACGCAUAUAUGCUGGAAUGCUUUCUGCGUAAAAUGGAUUCGUCUGCCCAAGGAUGGGUCUGCGGCCUAUCAGGUAGUAGUGGGUGUAAUGUACCUACUAGCCUACGACGGGUACGGGUUGUGAGAGCAAGAGCCCGGAGAUGGAUUCUGAGACAUGAAUCCAGGCCCUACGGGGCGCAGCAGGCGCGAAAACUUUACAAUGCGGGAAACCGUGAUAAGGGGACACCGAGUGCCAGCAUCCUAUGCUGGCUGUCCGGGUGUGUAAAAUACACCUGUUAGCAAGGGCCGGGCAAGACCGGUGCCAGCCGCCGCGGUAACACCGGCGGCCCGAGUGGUGAUCGUGAUUAUUGGGUCUAAAGGGUCCGUAGCCGGUUUGGUCAGUCCUCCGGGAAAUCUGACAGCUCAACUGUUAGGCUUUCGGAGGAUACUGCCAGACUUGGAACCGGGAGAGGUAAGAGGUACUACAGGGGUAGGAGUGAAAUCUUGUAAUCCCUGUGGGACCACCUGUGGCGAAGGCGUCUUACCAGAACGGGUUCGACGGUGAGGGACGAAAGCUGGGGGCACGAACCGGAUUAGAUACCCGGGUAGUCCCAGCCGUAAACGAUGCUCGCUAGGUGUCAGGCAUGGCGCGACCGUGUCUGGUGCCGCAGGGAAGCCGUGAAGCGAGCCACCUGGGAAGUACGGCCGCAAGGCUGAAACUUAA
rnacentral:rRNA from 1 species